rnacentral:rRNA from 1 species
AGGACGAACGCUGGCGGCGUGCUUAACACAUGCAAGUCGAGCGGUAAGGCCUUUCGGGGUACACGAGCGGCGAACGGGUGAGUAACACGUGGGUGAUCUGCCCUGCACUCUGGGAUAAGCCUGGGAAACUGGGUCUAAUACCGGAUAUGACCUGCUCUCGCAUGGGGGGUGGGUGGAAAGAUUUAUCGGUGCAGGAUGGGGCCCGCGGCCUAUCAGCUUGUUGGUGGGGUAAUGGCCUACCAAGGCGACGACGGGUAGCCGACCUGAGAGGGUGACCGGCCACACUGGGACUGAGACACGGCCCAGACUCCUACGGGAGCAGCAGUGGGAUAUGCACGAAUGGGCGAAAGCCUGAUGCAGCGACGCCGCGUGAGGAUGGAACGGCCGUUUACGGGGUUGUAAAACCGUCGUUUUACGAGGUCCAAGGGUACGAAGGACG